GACAGAGGGUGCAAACGUUGUUCGGAAUUACUGGGCGUAAAGCGAGUGUAGGCGGUUCGAUAAGUCGGAUGUGAAAGCCCCGGGCUCAACCCGGGAAGUGCACUCGAUACUGUCGAGCUAGAGUAUCGGAGAGGUUGGUGGAAUUCUCGGUGUAGCAGUGAAAUGCGUAGAUAUCGGGAGGAACACCAGUGGCGAAGGCGGCCUUCUGGACCAGUACUGACGCUCAUGCACGAAAGCGUGGGGAGCAAACAGG
rnacentral:rRNA from 1 species